AGAGUUUGAUUCUGGCUCAGAUUGAACGCUGGCGGCGUGCUUAACACAUGCAAGUCGAACGUGAAAGUCCUUCGGGGCGAGUAAAGUGGCGCACGGGUGAGUAACGCGUGGAUAAUCUACCCUUAAGAUGGGGAUAACGGCUGGAAACGGUCGCUAAUACCGAAUACGCUCCCGAUUUUAUCAUUGGGGGGAAAGAUGGCCUCUGCUUGCAAGCUAUCGCUUAAGGAUGAGUCCGCGUCCCAUUAGCUAGUUGGCGGGGUAACGGCCCACCAAGGCAACGAUGGGUAGCCGGUCUGAGAGGAUGACCGGCCACACUGGAACUGGAACACGGUCCAGACUCCUACGGGAGGCAGCAGUGGGGAAUAUUGCGCAAUGGGCGAAAGCCUGACGCAGCGACGCCGCGUGAGGGAUGAAGGUUCUCGGAUCGUAAACCUCUGUCAGGGGGGAAGAAACCCCCUCGUGUGAAUAAUGCGAGGGCUUGACGGUACCCCCAAAGGAAGCACCGGCUAACUCCGUGCCAGCAGCCGCGGUAAUACGGAGGGUGCAAGCGUUAAUCGGAAUCACUGGGCGUAAAGCGCACGUAGGCGGCUUGGUAAGUCAGGGGUGAAAUCCCACAGCCCAACUGUGGAACUGCCUUUGAUACUGCCAGGCUUGAGUACCGGAGAGGGUGGCGGAAUUCCAGGUGUAGGAGUGAAAUCCGUAGAUAUCUGGAGGAACACCGGUGGCGAAGGCGGCCACCUGGACGGUAACUGACGCUGAGGUGCGAAAGCGUGGGUAGCAAACAGGAUUAGAUACCCUGGUAGUCCACGCU
rnacentral:rRNA from 2 species